rnacentral:rRNA from 1 species
CCAGACUCCUACGGGAGGCAGCAGUGGGGAAUAUUGCACAAUGGGGGAAACCCUGAUGCAGCAACGCCGCGUGAGUGAAGAAGUCAUUCGUGAUGUAAAGCUCUAUCAGCAGGGAAGAAAAUGACGGUACCUGAGUAAGAAGCCCCGGCUAACUACGUGCCAGCAGCCGCGGUAAUACGUAGGGGGCAAGCGUUAUCCGGAUUUACUGGGUGUAAAGGGGGCGCAGACGGCAGCGCAAGCCAGGAGUGAAAGCCCGGGGCCCAACCCCGGGACUGCUCUUGGAACUGCGCGGCUGGAGUGCGGGAGGGGCAGGCGGAAUUCCUGGUGUAGCGGUGAAAUGCGUAGAUAUCAGGAGGAACACCGGUGGCGAAGGCGGCCUGCUGGACUGCGACUGACGUUGAGGCCCGAAAGCGUGGGGAGCAAACAGGAUUAGAUACCCCAGUAC